AGAAAAGGAGUCACAACUCGAAUCAAAACGGAAUCUUCAAAGAAAUUGGAUGUAAUUUCCAUUUUAACAUUCACAUUAAGUUCCACGAUUUUAGAAUUCAAAAACGGUGUACGAGGACAAUGAAUCGCAAAACCAAAUCGCUAGCAAUCAACGAACGAGGUGAACCAAAUCAGGAGCAAACCACAAGACCCGCUAAACCUGUCUCUACCAUGCCAAUUUAUUUCAAAUCAAAUUGCAAAUUCUUCUUCCUUUUUCCUUGCGCGGCGCUGCCUGCUGCUGUUGCUGCUGCUGCGAUGCACCAAUUUUCCGGUGGUCUGUGUGUGGAACAUGGACAUUGAGUCGUAACACAUGGGGCGCUAUCCCAUCUAUAAUAGCCCCAAUAUAUAUACAUAUCUCUACCUAACCUAAACUUCGAUUGGUCUUCUUUCUUCUUCUGGUGGAGAUCACUGAUGAUCUUGUCGUCGAUAACAUGGGAAUCAAACAUGCACUCAAAUCUGCGUCCCGCCAUGUUCUUCCGCCAACCAACCGACCGGCUGCUGUUGUUUGACUGUUUUUGCGUUUCGCAUAGAGCCAAUCUAGAAAACAUCAUCUAACAAACAACUUUAACGUGAGGCACCCCAACCAGAUUACUCUUUUCGUUCACAAGCUAACACACAAAUGAGCAUUUGUUGUGUAUUGUGGAGGAAGAACACGCGAAUGUUCCUUGUGGAUGUAAUAACCUCUGUUUAUGGAGAUCAAUCAAAUUAUUCGCAAUCAAAUGGUACACCGGCAUUUUAGAUUUCCUUGGGCAAUUUUCUUAGAGAUCUGCAAUUGACUUAUCUAUAUUCAGAUAUCAAGUUUGGAACGUAUUUGUUAACUUACAUUCCACAGAGUCUAGCUAAUAUAAUAAAACAAAAAAAUAGGAAACCAUGGUAAUUGAAAUCAAA